AAAUUGAAGAGUUUGAUCAUGGCUCAGAUUGAACGCUGGCGGCAGGCCUAACACAUGCAAGUCGAACGGUAACAGGAAGAAGCUUGCUUCUUUGCUGACGAGUGGCGGACGGGUGAGUAAUGUCUGGGAAACUGCCUGAUGGAGGGGGAUAACUACUGGAAACGGUAGCUAAUACCGCAUAACGUCGCAAGACCAAAGAGGGGGACCUUCGGGCCUCUUGCCAUCGGAUGUGCCCAGAUGGGAUUAGCUAGUAGGUGGGGUAACGGCUCACCUAGGCGACGAUCCCUAGCUGGUCUGAGAGGAUGACCAGCCACACUGGAACUGAGACACGGUCCAGACUCCUACGGGAGGCAGCAGUGG
rnacentral:rRNA from 1 species